AUCAUGUAUGAACUGGGGACACCGUCAUUUAUGUUUGUGAAGUGGUACCGCAUUCUAGUGCUGGCCUUCCUGCCUGGGGGGACAACAGUUCUUUAGCUUUCAAGGAGUUCCAAAUAAGAAGCGAACAAUUUCUACGAAUCCCGUACUUCAUGGAAUAAAUGACCUCUAUAUAGGAGCUGCUAUCUUAAAUAUUUUUCACAUGAGAUGUCUGCAUCUUUCACUUAAUACAAAAUGCACACGUUCAGAUUUUUUAGUCAGCCUGACACUCCAAAUUUCUCUCAAGCCGGAAUUCAAUCAGCUGACUGAAAAGCAGAAGUUGUCUUCUCGGAUUUAUGCAACUGUCAAUUGUGAUUCUGGAGAAACCAACAAUGACUUUAGCAACGAGUUACUUGUAUACAAGCUAUCAAAAGUUGUCUGUUGAGAAAUGACUUCUAGUCACAUAUAUCAGGACCAGGCAUACUGAACCAAAAUGGACAGACUACAGCAGAAAUACCUGAGGACAUUUUGCAUUUAGGUUUCUCAGUUUACGUUUUCGGAAUUUGUUAGAAAAGAAAGCAUAAAUGCAUUUUCUCUCUCCUCAUGCAAAAACAAAUUCUUGCCAUUGCACCAGACUGUGAAAGAAGAGUUUUCUUGCAUUACAGAAUUUAGUGCUGGGAAAUCUUGCUCCUUUUUCCAGCUCAGAAUUCUACUUGCCCAUGAACAUAGUCUUGGACAAUGCAGAGGGAAAGAAGGUAAAGGAAACAGGCACAAAAAGUAAUUCAAACAUUUGUUAUGUUAUCCUGUAAGUUAACUUGCUUAUUACGAGCUUGAUAUGAACACUAGGACAUUCAUUAAGAAAGGGAUACACCAAAAUUCUCCAACAGCUUUCAAACUUCUUUCCCUGCAAUGUGGGAAUGAGUGUUGAAAACAGUGGGAAAAACCAUGCUGCAGCAGAGCCAGCUUCUUUACAUACUGCCUAGAUAUUCCACUUAUGACGCUCUAUGUGUUACAGACAUUUGCUACCAGAUAUCCUUUACUGUUUUUAAAUUGUUACUUCUAUCUAUGUAGAAAAAAGAGGGGCAAUGAAAAGACUGGUACCUCCUCCACAGAUAAUUUUUUUUUCCUGAAAAAGAGCAACCAAAUUAAACUAGGAAAAUGAAGUAUGAGCAUUAAAGAGAGGGUUUUUAACAAUUUCCCAGUAUGAGCUUCUUAUACUGAUAAUUUUACACUCUGUACAAGUCACUAAUAAUUAAUAUUUCCAUCAGAGUUCUCUUUCGUGUGUUCUUCAUACCUUACUCCUACAUGCAACUCAAUCACUUUGCACUAAGGAAAAAACCCCAUGAUUAUUCACAAAUGCACCUAGAAGAACACUGUAUUUUGUAUUCAGCAAUUUUGCAAAAGUCAGAGCACAACAAAACAUUCUCUGGCCUUGUUUUAGGACUUGAUUUUCUAACUCUUGUACAUUAGACCGGGCCACUGACUCCUACAGGACCCCUUGAGAGAUUAAGUGUUAAGGAAUUGACUUACACUUUUAGAAAGUUUGUGAUGGGGGAGGACAGGGAAUCUUGUGCUCCUUUCAAAAGAAGGAGAUGAAUGAAGUCUUUGGCAACAUAAAGAUACUCAGUACAGAGAAAUAGCUCUUCUGUAUUAUGUGAAGCGUUUCAGUAAUGUUCCCACGUACUUAAAAACGAAGGUCAGCCAGUGACAACAGUUGGUUCUAGCUUGACAACACAGCAAGAAACUUGUAUUGCACUGUGAUCAUCCAGAUGGAAAAUUUAUAUGAGAUACUGUCAUAUCAGUUCACAAACUAUGCCCUAGAUGCCAGAAAUAACUAAAAGUCUAGAGCUUACUUGAACACGAUGUUCUGAAUAGGAAAAGUAGUUGCAUUUGUACUAACAAAACCUUCCUGAGGAUUUUAAGUUCCUUGAAAUGAGACAUUAGCAUUGAGUAACUGUGUCUCUGCUCACAUGAAAAAAAAACCCCAGCAGUUUGUUUUGCUGCUUUUACCAAAGACACUUUCUUUUUGGGAAUUUGUUGAAGCCAAAAUAAAAUAAUUAUGACAGCAAAAAUAAAAGUGCUACUUUUCUGAUGUGCCUCCAUUCAGAAAUGCCUAAUUACAGAUUAUUAUUCAGGACCCCUCUUUUCUUACAGUACUCAUAGUACUCUGACAGGCACAUUAUCAUGCUGAUGGUUAUUUCCUCAAACUCAAGCUCAGUCCUUUACACUGGACAUAUAAAAAAACCCCUCAAAUAUAUAUCAUUAUUAAUUGUCAUAAAAUACCAUAAGAAGACCAAAUGAAAGACCAACUUUCUGCUGAUGAUGCACUUAGUAAUAGAGACCGAAAGCUUCUCUGAACCAGUACUUGGUAUAUGCCAAAAAGGUGUAGAAUUAGGAUGCACAAGGAGAAAUAGCAUGGCAAAUAGAAAAAGAAACAUUUGAAAAAGUGUUUGCAGGGUAUCUGCUGCCUAAACUGAGUGAGUUGCAGCCUUUGCUGAAUGCUGGAGCCACUGAUUAAGCCUCAGGAGCCAACUCCCUUUACUAAGCUCCGGGGGUUGCAUGUUAUACUUGACCUUUUACAGAUACCCAGCUUGCUUCCCACUGAGCAAGCUUCAGCACACUGACUGCAGCAACAGAAGAAAAGAUACUCAUCCUCACUUGGGAAGCAUAAACUUCCCUGAGACAGGAUAACACAAAGCUAACACUGAAUCAGGCCAUUUAGGAAGAGAGACUAAAAGUUCCUAACUUCAUGGCUAGUACAAGGCCAGACACAAAACUAUCCUCUUUGU